UGGGUGUUUGAGGAGUUUCUAGGAUGAUUUUCUUCUAAUUCUCAUGUUCGUCUGUUUUGGGGCACUUUUUCAGGUCUGCAUGUUAGUGCUGUUCGAUUCACCCUUUGAAAAUUUUGAGGAUAGUAGCUGGAGUAUUACUCUGGCUGCAUUGUGUUUUUCUCUUACAAGUAGACAUUUGACUUGAUGAGAUUGAGUCCAGUCCACUACAAUAAUCCAUCACAUGUGUUUGUUCUUUCCAGAAGGUGAAACUUUGUCGGUUCCAUAAGAAAAACAAUCAAUGGAAAGAGAGGGGUAUGGGGAACAUGAAGAUCCCAAAGCACAAGCAAAGUGGGAAGAUCUUGCUGGUCAGCCAGCAGUCAAAGACCCUACGUUUUGCAUCAAUCUCUUAGCAAUGGCUUUUCUCAUUGUCCUUCUUCAUCCCAGCACUAGAUUUCAUCUCUAUUUGUUAGGUCAAAAUUAUGGCCUUUUUUUUUAUAUGGAUUGAGUAAUUUUGAUGUUUUUCAGUCUUUCCUACUAUAUCUAAACAUCAAUAAUGAUAAUUCUUGCGUGUGGCACAACUAGUCUUUGUCCAUGGCGAGUUGAGGGAGUUGUGUUGAAGGUGAGUGCAAUUUACCCUUUUUGUGCUUGUUCAACCAUUCCUAAGGUUAUCUACUAUUGUUGAAUAUGUUGUUCAUUUUCUUUUUAUUAGUGUUUGUAGUCUAAGGAUCCUUAUAAGGCUUCAUCGGUAGUAGUUUGAAUUACCCAACAGGCUGAAUAGGAUUGUCUCUUUAAAACCAUAAAAGGGGUAAUAAAUUGCCUUCAGCAACUACGUCUUCUAGACCAUGUCUUUAUUUCACUUUUUUAUCCAAAGCAAAAGGUAUUAGUUGUCAAAAGUUUUAUACUCUUAGUUUUUUUUCUUUUUGCAGCUGUAAUAUAAGUAUAAUGGUCAUAGCAUGUGAUUCUGAAAAACAUGGAUGACUACAGGUGGUUAUGGAGACACUAUAAGGAAGCAACAGUAGAUGUGGAGUACAGAGGUCAAAUUACUGUACAUAUUGCUCAAAAUUGAAUGAAAUCAUAGGUAUUCCUUUGAAUUGUACGAGGUAGACUUUCCUGGUAUAUGACGGUCUUUUCUAGGUGUUGAAAGAACUGCAUUCCAGCAAGGGAUUAAGAAGGCAUAUUAUAAUUUGGCAUUGCAUCUUCAUCUAGACAAAAAUAUUAAAAAUGAGGAAGCCAAAGAAAAAUUUCAGCUCUUACAAAAGGUAAUAUUUAUUCGUGCCUGUACUAAAAAAAUAUAUCUCUCCUUAGAUCUCUAUGUAAAUAAUGUUAUCUGGUUUUCAUCCUUUCCUUAUAAUGUUCACAUAUAAUUGUUUCUUUUCUCCUUUGAAAUCUUUGGUUCAAGUCAAUGUAUUUGUUUAGUUAAAGUCAUGUUAUGCUCUAUGACAUGGGUCGGUCCUUGAAGUGUAUAUUUCUUUCAUUUUUCUUUUCAAAUGUUUAUCUAGUCAACAAUUGUAUCCAUGCAUUCUUCUGCAAUGAUGUGUAUACAGUGCGGGGCCAAUAUGAGAAAGAUGACAAUAUUACUACAUAUUGUGUAGAUUAGGGUUUUAUGUUCCCUCUAUGAUCUUUAUCCUUAACCUUCUUUGGUUUCUGUUGUAAAAUUUUGUUUCAAUUUGAUAGCUUCCUAUUUGGUGUGUGCAAGCCUUGAGUGUGUGUGUUUGUCCAGUCCCAUACACAAUGGAAAGAAACUGAUUCAAUGGUGACUUGCUCACUAUUACAAUUUCUUUUCAAGUAAAAUUAAGUGGUUCAAUGGUGACUUGCUUACUAUUGCCAUUUCUUUUAGUUAUGUAGUAACUUUGGAAAAUAAACAUUAUCAACAAGCUAUUACUUACGUCUCAAGGUUUGAAUUUCCUUCUAUAUGAGGUCGAAGGUAAAAACUCCUUGUUGUUGAAUCUCUGGAAUGGUUUUCAAAAGAGAAAAAAAGUUGAUGUGGAAGCUCCUCUCAUUUAGUUGCCAAUUUUUUUAAAUUUUCUGUUAUAACUUUUAUUGUUGUUACUCCAAAUCCCAUGGUUAGUG